rnacentral:rRNA from 1 species
UACGGAGGAGGCUAGCGUUGUUCGGAAUUACUGGGCGUAAAGCGCGCGUAGGCGGCUUUGUAAGUUAGAGGUGAAAGCCCGGAGCUCAACUCCGGAAUUGCCUUUAAGACUGCAUCGCUAGAAUCAUGGAGAGGUGAGUGGAAUUCCGAGUGUAGAGGUGAAAUUCGUAGAUAUUCGGAAGAACACCAGUGGCGAAGGCGACUCACUGGACAUGUAUUGACGCUGAGGUGCGAAAGCGUGGGGAGCAAACAGG